rnacentral:rRNA from 1 species
GCAAGUCGAGCGAGGUUUCGAACCGAGCGGCGGACGGCUGAGUAACACGUUGGUACCUGCCCUAUACUCAGGGAUAACUAUUGGAAACGAUAGCUAAUACCGGAUAGUCCCGCAAGGGUAAAGAUUUAUCGGUAUAGGAGGGGCCUGCGGCUUAUCAGGUAGUUGGUAGUGUAAUGGACUACCAAGCCUAUGACGAGUAGCUGGUGUGAGAGCAUGACC